rnacentral:lncRNA from 1 species
UCUGGGCGGCGGGCACGCGCGCGCACGCGAGGAGCGCGCGGCUGCUGGGCCGCCGUCCGGGGAGGCGUGGGCGAGCUGCGCCUGCCUGCCCAGAGCCGAGCCCGGCGGAGUCCGGCCGCGCGGUGCUGCUCUCUCCCGGGCCGGGCUCGUCCGUUCCCCCGGCGUCCGUGGACGCCGCUCCGUGUCCCCGCUGGGCACAGCAGCCCGGGCCCUCCACAGCCACGGCCGCUAGCCUGAGGAGGCCCUCCUUCAGCUCGCGCUCUUCCCGCUCGCCGGACCCGGACGACCAGGGCGCCCGCGAAGAUGAUUCCAUCUGGGAGAGGUUUUUGGAGACCAAGCGUGGUGAUUCGGAACGUGGACUCUGCAGCCAGACUCUGUCAAAUGGGUCCUAGCUCUGCCACCUACGGGCUGUGUGAACUUGGGCAAGUUACUGGACCAUUCUGUGUGUCAGUUUCCUGAUCUGUAAAACGGGGAUGAUUAUAAUACACACUCCAUAGGUGAGUGUAAAG